rnacentral:tRNA from 1 species
GCUCCCAUCGUCUAGUGGCCUAGGACAUCGCCCUUUCAUGGCGGUAACCGAGGUUCGAAUCCUCGUGGGAGUGCCA